CGGAUAGUAGCUUAAUGGCAGAGCUUCCUCGGAGCCGAAAGUGUAAGAAUAAGGAUGGUGCACACGAAUUAUUCUGAGAAAAAGCAGAGUGGCAGAGGUUCGAUUCCUCUCUAUCCGG
rnacentral:tRNA from 1 species